GGAUGGUUAGUGCAUCCUCUUCCCCAGUCUAUCCUCUCUCGUCAUGUCCUCUCUCCUGUCUCAUGGUGGGGAACAGGGAGAAGCGGCGGCGGGGAAUGGGCGCGCUCUCCUCUGUUGUCAUGUCUUCUCUCCUCUCUCCUGUGCAGCGCCGGGCAACGGAGAACACUGCCGUCUGGAAAGUGCGCGUUCACCUAUUCAAUCUCGCUGGCUCUCAUGUCUCUAUUCUAACCCCUCUCUAUAUUCUCUGAAGGGGCGUGGGAUGGUGAUAGAGAACUGAGGCGGCGACCAUGAAGAUCGAAGCCCAACAGAAACUCUUCAAGUUUAGUGAUUUCUUCACUAAAAAAAUCAGAGGUCGUGUGACGAUGAUGGCCGUCAAGAAGGAAAUGCAGGACGAUUAAAACAUCCUGGACAAAUCUCCUGUUGGAUAAACAUUUGUUCUAUGCAACAGUUUACAUUGACCGAUGAGGUGUACACGCAGGUCUAGCUGCUGGUCGACAACUAGGAAGCAAAGAGGCGGAUGCAGGACGGGAAGAAGAGGACGCAUGCGACACUGUCGGAGAUGAUGCCGAGGAUUGCUCGGAUACCACACAUCUUAUGCAAGAGGCUCACUCGGACACCGCACAUGUUCUGCCAAAUUGUAUGCAAAAUAGCUGUUUGCGAGAAAGGAGCAAAGGGGCUCAAGUAAAAGAUUGAGGGUGACUAUCUCGUGAACAUGUAAGGAAUAUAUAGCCGUUGUUGUAUUAUGCUUCACAUACUCAUUUCGAAUGUGAUGACAUGGUUUGCUCUACAAAUGACAUGCCUUAAAGACUUCACAAGUUUGUAUA